rnacentral:rRNA from 1 species
GACGAACGCUGGCGGCGUGCUUAACACAUGCAAGUCGAACGGAAAGGCCCUGCUUUUGUGGGGUGCUCGAGUGGCGAACGGGUGAGUAACACGUGAGUAACCUGCCCUUGACUUUGGGAUAACUUCAGGAAACUGGGGCUAAUACCGGAUAGGAGCUCCUGCUGCAUGGUGGGGGUUGGAAAGUUUCGGCGGUUGGGGAUGGACUCGCGGCUUAUCAGCUUGUUGGUGGGGUAGUGGCUUACCAAGGCUUUGACGGGUAGCCGGCCUGAGAGGGUGACCGGCCACAAUGGGACUGAGGUACGGCCCAGAAUCCUACGGGAGGCAGCAGUGGGGAAUAUUGCACAAUGGGCGGAAGCCUGAUGCAGGCACGCCGCGUGCGGGAUGACGGCCUUCGGGUUGUAAACCGCUUUCGCCUGUGACGAAGCGUGAGUGACGGUAAUGGGUAAAGAAGCACCGGCUAACUACGUG